rnacentral:rRNA from 1 species
UACGUAGGCAGCGAGCGUUGUUCGGAGUUACUGGGCGUAAAGGGUGUGUAGGCGGUUGUUUAAGUUUGGUGUGAAAUCUCCCGGCUCAACUGGGAGGGUGCGCCGAAUACUGAAUGACUUCGAGUGCGGGAGAGGAGAGUGGAAUUCCCGGUGUAGCGGUGAAAUGCGCAGAUAUCGGGAGGAACACCAGUAGCGAAGGCGACACUCUGGGCCGGUACUGACGCUGAGGAGCGAAAGCGUGGGGAGCAAACAGG